UACGAAGGGGGCUAGCGUUGUUCGGAAUUACUGGGCGUAAAGCGCGCGCAGGCGGUCCUUCGAGUCAGAGGUGAAAGCCCAGAGCUCAACUCUGGAACGGCCUUUGAGACUAGAGGACUUGGGUACGGGAGAGGUGAGUGGAAUUCCGAGUGUAGAGGUGAAAUUCGUAGAUAUUCGGAAGAACACCAGUGGCGAAGGCGGCUCACUGGCCCGUUACCGACGCUCAGGCGCGACAGCGUGGGGAGCAAACAGG
rnacentral:rRNA from 1 species